GGGUGGCGGAGGCCGCAGGCCGCAGGAGUGCUGGUGGAGGGGCUUCCAGAAAGACCCUGCGGCAGCGCCCCCCCUCGGCUCUCCCCGCAGGAGAGCGGGCACCUGCGCGGCGCCGGGUGAAGGCGAGAGCCUCGGCGAGCCCUCUGCAGCGGAGCCCCCUGCCCAUUUGGUUUUGGAACCACCGGGAGGAACUGGGCCAUUCUAACACCCGUUGCUACCAUGCUGGCCACCCGCCUCUCCAGACCCCUGUCACGGCUCCCAGGAAAAACCCUAAGUGCCUGUGAUAGAGAAAAUGGAGCAAGGUAAGCAACCAGAGGUGGUGGUGGCCUUGAGGGGACACUUUCUGAGCAGGCAGAGGUUUUCACACAUGGACAGUGUAGGCGGUGAUGAGGCCUGAUUCUCAGAGAUGUCUCUCAAUACCUUUGUCUCCCAGCAGAGGAAACUCAGAGGUGUCCUGGGAAGACAUUUUCCCAGGGCACACAGGGCAGAAAGGAAUAUCUUUCAUAACCACUUAUUUUUUUUUCUUUUUGAUGGAGUCUCACUC
rnacentral:lncRNA from 1 species